rfam:Myotis brandtii contig299342, whole genome shotgun sequence.
GGCGGUACUCGGGUGAUGCACCCUGGAAUCGGGCUCCCUCCUCUCUGGUACCAGGGUGCCUCACCUGAGAACUGCC